rnacentral:rRNA from 1 species
AAACCAACAGGGAUUGCCUUAGUAGCGGCGAGUGAAGCGGCAAAAGCUCAAAUUUGAAAUCUGCCAGCAAUGGCCGAGUUGUAAUUUGUAGAUGGUAACUCUGCGAGGAGUCUUUGCUCAAGUGUCCUGGAAUGGGCCAUCAUGGAGGGUGACAAUCCCGUGAGGCAUUGACGUAAUCGCGUGUAGAGUGCUAUCGAAGAGUCGAGUUGUUUGGGAAUGCAGCUCAAAGUGGGUGGUAGGCACCAUCUAAAGCUAAAUAUUGGCGAGAGACCGAUAGCGAACAAGUACUGUGAAGGAAAGAUGAAAAGCACUUUGAAAAGAGAGUGAAAUAGUACGUGAAAUUGUUAAUAUGGAAGGAUAUAAAAUUAGACAUGAGCAUCAAGUUAAUCUUCUCUCGGGGAGUUGGCGCUUGGUGCUUGUACCAGCAUCAGUUCUGGCAGAAGGAUAAAGAACAUUGAAUGUAGCAGCUUCUGCUGUGUUAUAGCCUUGUUUAAUACUUUUAGCCGGGACUGAGGACCGCCUUUUGUAGGAUGCUGGGGUAAUGAUUUUAUAUCAC